UGACAAUUUCACUCAAUCUUUGAGUUUAUUUCUACAUGCUUGGAAGAAAUAAUUUUUCACUGCAGAUAGAAUGCUAAUGGAUGAAAAGGUCGGUAUUCUCAAUUACUCUUAUCAAAUUAUUGUCAUUUAAAUCUUUAAUUUUUUUUUUAUCAUAACAAUGGUUGUAAGUAAACAAUCUUAUUUUUCUCAUUUAUUUACUGAUAUUGGUUGUUCUUUUGUUAUCAAGAACAUAGAACCAAUGAUAAUUUUUAAGAGGCUUCAUUCCAUGUAAGAUGACAAAAUAUAUUCCUUUCUCAAAUUGUAUCUAAUAAAGAGUCAACUAAUAUUAUGGAGCAAGAAAGUUGUGGAAGAUUUAGAGGAUUGAGAUAUAUGAUGUUUGAAGAAUUUUCCAAUAGUUAGAUAAUAAAUUUAUAGCAUCAAUAUGUUUGGUGCAAGUGAUUCAUUUUUUUUUAUAAUUUUCAUCUAUGUUUUGAAGGAAUUCACUUUCAAUUCUAAA